GUGGGGAAUUUUGGACAAUGGGGGCAACCCUGAUCCAGCCAUGCCGCGUGCGGGAAGAAGGCCUUCGGGUUGUAAACCGCUUUUGUCAGGGAAGAAAUCCUUUGGGUUAAUACCUCGGAGGGAUGACGGUACCUGAAGAAUAAGCACCGGCUAACUACGUGCCAGCAGCCGCGGUAAUACGUAGGGUGCGAGCGUUAAUCGGAAUUACUGGGCGUACAGCGUGCGCAGGCGGUUUUGUAAGAUCGAUGUGAAAUCCCCGGGCUGAACCUGGGAACUGCAUGGGUGACUGCAAGGCUGGAGUGCGGCAGAGGGGGAUGGAAUUCCGCGUGUAGCAGUGAAAUGCGUAGAUAUGCGGAGGAACACCGAUGGCGAAGGCAAUCCCCUGGGCCUGCACUGACGCUCAUGCACGAAAGCGUGGGGAGCAAACAGGAUUAGAAACCCUGGUAGUCC
rnacentral:rRNA from 1 species